rnacentral:rRNA from 1 species
GACGAACGCUGGCGGCGUGCUUAACACAUGCAAGUCGAACGGAAAGGCCCUGCUCUUGUGGGGUGCUCGAGUGGCGAACGGGUGAGUAACACGUGAGUAACCUGCCCUUGACUUUGGGAUAACUUCAGGAAACUGGGGCUAAUACCGGAUAGGAGCUCCUGCUGCAUGGUGGGGGUUGGAAAGUUUCGGCGGUUGGGGAUGGACUCGCGGCUUAUCAGCUUGUUGGUGGGGUAGUGGCUUACCAAGGCUUUGACGGGUAGCCGGCCUGAGAGGGUGACCGGCCACAUUGGGACUGAGAUACGGCCCAGACUCCUACGGGAGGCAGCAGUGGGGAAUAUUGCACAAUGGGCGGAAGCCUGAUGCAGCAGCGCCGCGUGCGGGAUGACGGCCUUCGGGUUGUAAACCGCUUUCGCCUGUGACGUGGCGUGAGUGACGGUAAUGGGUAAAGAAGCACCGGCUAACUACGUG